GGGGAUUUAGCUCAGCGGUAGAGCGCUUGCCUAGCAAGCGAAAGGCCCUGGGUUCGGUCCCCAGCUCUG
rnacentral:tRNA from 1 species